CAAACCUCUUAAUACCAUCAAUCCGCGUCUGAGCAUGAUCUGAGAUUGAUGCAUCUUAUCCCUCUGCAAGUUGGUCUCUAUGCACCUAUAAAAGUGGCUUCUCGCUGCAACACAAGAAACUGCGAUGAACGGAGAGUCCUCAUCGGUUCGAAUCAGCCCUAAGCACGAAGGAGUCGUGGAGAUCUCUGAUUCUGUACCUCUCAUUCCUCCUCUCGGGAUCUCGGUCAUCAUGAUACGUGGCUAUGUGAGGAGAUGGAGUUGAGAUGAGGAUGAUAGCUCUCACUUCACCUUGAAAUAAUUGAUCGACCCGUUCAAGAUGACUGACUACUCGGUUACUCUCGGUUGACAAGGAGGCGUUUACUCACUGAAAAAUCUCUUCCGAAGUGUUUUCCUUUCCAAGAGUCUGCUCAAUUGAUUGAUUUUUCUUUUUUCACCUUCUCUGCAAAACUUUUUUGGUAGCCAAGAGUCACUUUUUAUAAACUUCAGGCUUCUGAACUCUCAUUCUAAAAAUGGAUUUUUGUGUGGUUCUCUCAUUCUAUGAUCUUUUGUUCGUCUGAUAUGUUCGAUUUCAAAAGCAAGUUGUUAUCUAAUUAAAGCAUUGUCUUUAUAGGAACAGAAGCGAUGAUGACAAGAGAAGAAAGCUGAGUCCUCUGGAAAGAAACAACACAAUAAGUAAUUUAGAAGAACAAAGGGAGCUGAAGUUGCAAGACAUGUGGACUGUCCGUUGCAUUAGCUUUUUUAUUUUAUUUCCAAGUUCAACGAAGUCAGAGCACUUCAAGUCUUUUAUAGAUUAUGUUUUGUUGCUCUAUAUUUUCUAAAUUUGCACCGCUCAGACAUUUGCAAGUUAAUAAAUUUGCACUUCCACCCAGACUGGCCUUAUCCAGUUUACCUUACCGGCUUACACUCACAACGCCUUAUAGUUUUUAAUUUAAUUUCAAAUCACUACAAAGUCAUAUGACUUCAAAUCGUCAGCACAUCUAUUUCUUUAGCUCUAUUUGUUAAGAAAUAAGCACCACACUUCACUUCAAAUCGUCUGCACAUGGAAAGCAUUAUUAUCUAAAUGAAUAAUUUAUUCCUGCGACACCACACUUCCUGAUACCAUCAUUAACAUCUCAAACAAGUUACAUAUGGUUCAUUAAAUCUACAUAAUAACAACAUUCCACGAGAUAUAUUGAAAACAAAACAUUAGGAGUGCAAGAAUGACACAUAACAUUAAGCCA